GCAGAAACACAGAUGGAAAAGACCAGGGGCAAUGGACAGAGUCACCCAGUAACCCUUUCCACAUGCUUCCGAGCAGCUAGCUUCAAGACCUCACAUUUCUGGGGCAGCCUCAGACCUUCACUGAAGGCCUGGAGUUCAAAUCUGAAUGGAAAUAUUUUGGGGCUUGUUCCGAGGCUGCAGAGAGAGGACUAGGAUCCAUUCAUGAACCACCUGUGGCUGCACUGUUGGAGAUAGGCCUCUGCGAGCAAGAGCCCCAGAGCGCCCUAACUAAGUGAGGGUUCCAAAGCCAGCAGCCCAAAUCGAAGCAGGACGUGUGUUUGUGCAGGUGGUUUGCCAGUGGGAGUCUGAAUUCUUUCUGCUUGGUCCACAUCAGUUCUUCUGAAACUCUGCCUGUUUGGAAGCUGCCAGCUUUUGAAACAACAGAGGACUCUUUUAAAAAAGUGCUGACACACGAUUUAUCAAAUUAUCCUGACUGAAAUUCUACUUCCAAAUAAAAGAGUCGAGAGGGAAGAAAAAUAUUUAUAUGAUUAAAUACUGAGUUGGUUUUACAGGUCUCCCACAUUUAAACAUCUGAAAUGUGUCAGCUAAGCUUCUUUUAGUGACAACUUACCUGAGAAUAGUGUUUCUGAGACACUUCUGUUUCUUUGUAUGGCCAAACUGUAAAUAGCCCAGUUUCUAGAUACACAAUUGGUAUUUAUAUUGUCUUUUGCCUUAGCCUUGGAAAAUCUUAAUGCCUUUGACUAUUGAGUUCAAACCCAGGAAGUUUAUUUUUGCCAUGUAUGCUUUUCAGUUGUUUUGUAAACUAUUAUUGUAAAGUUAGGUCAUAUGAAUACAGAGUCUAUGCAAAAGGGGGGUGGUUAAGGGAUGUUUUUGACUGGUUCUUAGUAUAGGGUAUGCAGACUUGGGUCCUGUACAUUCAGUU